rnacentral:rRNA from 1 species
UGGGGAAUCUUCCACAAUGGGCGAAAGCCUGAUGGAGCAACGCCGCGUGCAGGAUGAAGGCCUUCGGGUUGUAAACUGCUUUUGUUUUCGAAGAUUAUGACGGUAGAUUACGAAUAAGGACCUGCUAACUACGUGCCAGCAGCCGCGGUCAUACGUAGGGUCCAAGCGUUAUCCGGAAUGACUGGGCGUAAAGAGAUGCGUAGGCGGUUAUUUAGGCAGAUAGUGAAAUCGGGUGGCUCAACCAUUCCGCUGCUAUCUGAACUGGGUAACUUGAGUAUGGUAGGGGUCGCUGGAAUUGCUGGUGUAGGAGUGAAAUCCGUAGAUAUCAGCAGGAACACCGAUGGCGAAGGCAGGCGACUGGACCAUUACUGACGCUAAUGCUCGACAGCGUGGGGAGCGAACCGG